CCUACGGGUGGCUGCAGUGAGGAAUAUUGGUCAAUGGGCGAGAGCCUGAACCAGCCAAGUCGCGUGAAGGAUGACGGCCCUACGGGUUGUAAACUUCUUUUGUCAGGGAGCAAUUGGGUCCACGCGUGGGCUUAGCGAGAGUACCUUCAGAAAAAGCAUCGGCUAACUGCGGGCCAGCAGCCGCGGUAAUACGGAGGAUGCGAGCGUUAUCCAGUUUGUGUGGGGUUACAGGGUGAGUAGGCAGAAUAUCAAGGCAGCGGUAAAACUUCGGGGAUCACCCCCGUCGUGCCGUUGAAACUGAUGUUCUUGAGUCGGCGAGAAGUAUGCGGAAUGCGUGGUGUAGCGGUGAAAUGCAUAGAUAUCACGCAGAACUCCGAUUGCGAAGGCAGAAUACCGGCGCCCAACUGACGCUGAAGCACGAAAGCGUGGGUAUCGAACAGGAUUAGAUACCCCUGUAGUC
rnacentral:rRNA from 1 species